GUCCGGGUGGCGGAAUUGGCAGACGCGCUAGCUUGAGGUGCUAGUGCCCGCAAGGGCAUGGGGGUUCAAGUCCCCCCUCGGACACCA
rnacentral:tRNA from 1 species